CUCUCUUUCUCGCAGAGAAUCGAAUCUGUUUCUCCAAAUCUGGAUCGAUUCUUCUUUAGUCUCUUACUCAGUGAUUCUUCUUCGAUUCUUCUUCAGUUCGGUGAUUCAUCUCGGGAUUGCGAUUUCGAAGUUCGAUUUUGAGCACAGCUCCGUGAUUUAUCUCCAUGGAUUUGGAACUCUUCGUCUUCUUCAAUCAGAGGGCUCUAUAUAGGUCUUAGGGCUCUCGAUUCUUCUUCACUCUUUUACUCAGUGAUUCUUCUUCGAUUCUUCUACAGAUCACAUCAUCUUUGGAUUAUCCUUUAACAGCUUUGAGCCAAUCAAAUGGAAAAGGUAGAGGAUCUAUGUUGUGCUUGUGUAGUUCAAUAUCAUAAUCAUCAUGAGUCAAUUUAUAUAUGUUGUGUGUUGUCAAUAAACUAAAGUUGUUGAAUUGGCAGUAUAAGCUGGGUAAGGUUAGGGUUCUCUUCUGGAAUUAACUUUGUUUUGUAAUUAAUAUUUUCAAUAUGUUUUUGACCAUUUUGAU